GACGAACGCUGGCGGCGUGCUUAACACAUGCAAGUCGAACGCUGAAGACCUGGCUUUUGUUGGGUUGGAUGAGUGGCGAAUGGGUGAGUAACACGUGAGUAACCUGCACUCUUCUUUGGGAUAACGCCCGGAAACGGGUGCUAAUACUGGAUAUUCACUGAUCUUCGCAUGGGGGUUGGCGGAAAGGCUUGUUCUGGUGGGGGAUGGGCUCGCGGCCUAUCAGCUUGUUGGUGGGGUGAUGGCCUACCAAGGCUUUGACGGGUAGCUGGCCUGGAAGGGUGACCGGUGACGUUGGAACUGGGAAACGGCCCAGACGCCUGCGGGAGGGAGGAGUGGGGGAUAUUGCACAAUGGGCGAAAGCCAGAUGCAGCGACGCGGCGUGAGGGAUGUAGGCCUUCGAGGUACAAACCUCUUUCGCUCAUGGUCAAGCCGCAACUGCUGGUUGUGGUGAGGGUAGUGGGUAAAGAAGCGCCGGCUAACUACGUG
rnacentral:rRNA from 1 species